GACGUAGGGCGCGAGCGUUGUCCGGAUUUAUUGGGCGUAAAGAGCUCGUAGGCGGCUUGUCGCGUCGUCCGUGAAAACCUGGGGCUCAACUCCAGGCCUGCGGUCGAUACGGGCAGGCUCGAGUUCGGUAGGGGAGACUGGAAUUCCUGGUGUAGCGGUGAAAUGCGCAGAUAUCAGGAGGAACACCGGUGGCGAAGGCGGGUCUCUGGGCCGAUACUGACGCUGAGGAGCGAAAGCGUGGGGAGCGAACAGG
rnacentral:rRNA from 1 species